CUUGGAUAUCUGGAAGUUCUUAAUUCACAUACUGUUGAAGCCUCACUUGGAGAAUUCUGAGCAUUACUUUGUUAGGGCGUGAGAUGAGUGCAAUUGUGAGGUAGUUUGAACAUUCUUUGGCUUUGGAAUGAAAACUGACCUUUUCCAGUCCUAUGGCCACUGUGGAGUUUUCCAAAUUUGCUGGCAUAUUGAGUGCAGCACUUUAACAGCAUCAUCUUUUAGGAUUUGAGAUAGCUCAGCUGGAGUUCCGUCACCUCCAGUAACUUUGUUCAUAGUGAUGCCUCCUAAGGCUCACUUGACUUCAGACUCCAGGAUGUCUGGCUCUAGGUCAUCAUUAUCCCCAUUUCACCAAAGACAAAACUGAAACGAAGAUGAACCAAAUUGGCGUUCAAGACUGCCCAGUGGCAGAGCUAGGAUCGGAACCAAGGGCUUCUCAACAUCAAAGCCUAUCAUUUUGACCAGAUGCUAUACUUCUGCUCCCGGAAGCACUUCAUCACCUUCCCAGUGUGGGAUUCACUCUACUGGACUAUGGUCAUUCCACCAGCAGGAUCUUAACCUUCCAAUAGCACCAGUCAGAUUGUUCACACUGAUUGCACCAACUACCUUUGAAAUAUUUGUAAUCUGUAUCCACCAUCUCUAUAAUGCAAAUGAAGUAAUUAAAUUGUAAAAGACUGAAAAGCAAAUUGUGAUUAAAAUUUCAGACAUCCAUGUAGUACAGUGGUGCCCUGUCAUUCUUAUCCCAGAACAUGUGAAAUGACUGUCCUGGAAUUGUAGAUAAACUGCUUCAGAGAGCAGAGCUGAAGCUCAUUACCAACUCUGAGAAAACUCCUGUUCAUUACCAGCAAGAUUACAGAUUGAUUCUAUCUGUCCUACAACCUACGUUUUUUAACAUUUUAAGAUAACUUGUUACAUAACAACAUUGAUGGAUUACAAAAAAGAGGGAUGAAAAUUACCCACAAUCCUGAUAUAUUAAAAAAAAAUCUAUUUUCAUUUUUCUCUAUUCUCUUCCAGUCCUGGUCCAUGUAUAUAAUUUUUACAAUGUGAAAACCUAUCAGAGGUAUAAUUUUCUUUUGCUCAUUUUUUUUCAAUAAACAUUGGAGCAAAAGCUUUUUCCAUGUUGUUUCAGAAUCUUCACCUGCUGUAGCCAUGCAAUAGUGGUGCCUCCUUCCAGCUGAGACCAUGCUGUAGGCAGAAUCCAAGCCCUAGGAGGGCAAAAUAAAUGACUCUUGGGAGGAGCACUUGCUUCUUUCGUUUCCCAUUAUGUUUUGAUGUAUCCAUGUUGAGAAGUGUGGCAAUAGUUCAUUCAUUUUAACUGCUGUGAAAUGGUUCAUAAUAUGAGUAUACCACAGUGUACCCACAUUCAGGGAAGAAUCUAAGCAGAUGGGUUGGGACUAGUGGGGACAGGUCUGCCAGGGAAAUGAUUCAGUACUCACCACCUGGAUUAAAAAUCAACUUCUGGAGUCUGAAAGCUUUGUACCAGGGUGUUGCUAUAGAGUUGAGGAGGGAAACAAAAGGAGGACCCAGUAAACAAUCCAGAUUGGAAGCCAAAGAUGGAUGUCGAGGGGAAAGGUGGUAUUUUAUCCCAAUUAGACCUGGGAAGAAAUUAAUGCAGUUAUUCCUUAGCCUUGAG
ensembl:lncRNA